GAAAAGGCAGGGGGAAAAAAAGGUAACACAACCAUUUAGGUGCUUGGUGUCUUUGCACCUGAGACCGUCGUCUCAAACAAAGAGUUACAGUAUUCAAGGUAAGAUAGGCAAGGAAGCAGAGGGUCUCAGCCUUUCUUAAAAGUGGAUGCAAAAAAAAAAUAUGAAAUCUGCAUAAACCCAGGGGGCGUAUUGCAAACCUUUCUAAUUGGAAGCUUAAUGUGCUAAUUCUACGACGAGUGAAAUUAAGUGACACGAAAGCACUACAGUACUUUUCCACGAAUUAGUUAAAUGCAACCGCUCGCACUGCAUUGUGGGUAUCUCCAUGCUAAUUUGAGAGAUUUUUUUUUUUUUAUGUGUUCGGGAUUAACAUAUUCAUGAAGAAAAUGAUUGUUAUGACUGCAGAUCCAACCACAAGAGAAAGCAAACGCUUAACCAGCAAUCGGCACAAAUAAAAUCAAGAGGAGGAAAAAAAUAAAAUUAAAAGAACACUGUCCGGAGUUUUUAUCCUCCUGUUUUUUUUGGGAAGAUAUCAAUUUUCAAUAUUUAAAAGCCGGUAUAAGUAUACUGGCCUUUAACGGCAAGGAAGGAGGAUAUGUCACUUGGCACCUUACCCGUACUCUCGUGAUGUGGGAUCAGCCGUCAUCUGAGUGUUUUUGAAGUUCGGUAUCAUCAUUACCAGAUGUGAUGUGCACCAUUACACACAAUGGUAUUGGAGCGGAGUACACCAGCGAACCUACAGAAUAUCUCCAACACUAGUGCUCGGAAUGGGGCACUGACGCUGUUUGUAUGUGAAAUGUAAAACCAUGUUAUUAUUAUGUAUGAUGCCAUGGCAGGCCUCCCUCUUUAUCUUACUGAUCCAGUUAGACUAAGGGACAAACACAUCACCUGUGAACUGUGCUGCAGACAACUAAACAGUUAAGGUUACCUCCUUAGAGUCCCCUUGCUUGUGUAGAAAAAUUAACAUUAAAUUGUGUUACAUAUUACAGUCCAGUGACCUCUGCAUAAUGUUUUUAGAACUUGAUAACAACUAUAUUAUUUACGGUAUUGCUGUUUAGUGCUUUGGGGGGAAGAGAUGUAUGAAACCUUCAAGAGAUAUGCAGUGGAGAGAGAUAAAGUAUCAACCAAAUCAGCUAAUAACUGCCAUGGCACAGGCUAUGUUUUAAAAAUGACAGUUAUGAGCUGAUCGGUUGGUACUUACGGGGACAUGUACUAAGCAGUGAUAAAAGUGGAGGUGAGCCAGUGGAGAAGUUGCCCAUGGCAACCAAACAGCAUUGCUGUAACAUUUAUAAUUUGCAUACUAUAAAAGUAUACAGAGCAGCUGAUUGGUUGCCAUGGGCAACUUCUCCACUGGCUCACUUCUCCACUUUUGUCACUGCUUAGUACAUGCCCCCCCUUAUCUCUCUCCACUUUAUCACCCUCCAAGAUCAGAUACAUCUCCCCCUUCAUGCGAUGGUAUGACUUGUUAGUGAUAAAUAAACUUCCUAACAACUCUUCUGAAUAAAAUGUAUUUAUUUAUUUGUUUAAAA